rnacentral:piRNA from 1 species
GGCAUAUUUUCAUGUUUUUGUGUCAC